UACAGAGGGGGCAAGCGUUGUUCGGAAUUACUGGGCGUAAAGGGCGCGUAGGCGGCCUUCUAAGUCGAACGUGAAAUCCCCGGGCUCAACCCGGGAACUGCGUCCGAUACUGGAAGGCUUGAAUCCGGGAGAGGGAUGUGGAAUUCCAGGUGUAGCGGUGAAAUGCGUAGAUAUCUGGAGGAAUACCGAUGGCGAAGGCAGCCAUCUGGCCUAACACUGACGCUGAGGUGCGAAAGCAUGGG
rnacentral:rRNA from 1 species